ensembl:lncRNA COX10-DT COX10 divergent transcript
UCCGAAAGGAGAGCGUGGUGUCUGGAGGUGAUCGGAAGGGACUGGCUGGAGUGUGGCGGGCUGACAGGUCUGAGGCCUGAAGGACUUCCGGGAACCGCAAAGCACGGUGUGCCUCCGCUGUCCUGAAGAAAAAGCCGCGCGCGGACGACUGGCCGGCCCGCGCUUGCAGCUCCCAGAAGUUGACAGGCAUCCUCCGGUGACCGGUGUGAGUAUGGCAUCAGGAUGAUUUGACUGCAAGCAACAGAAAAAUCAAACAAAAAUGGCCUAAGCCAAGAAGAGAAAUGAUUAUUUCACAUUCCAAGAAGUUUGGGAGUCGAGUGGUUAAACGGCUAAUUAAUCUAGAGCUCAACAGUAUCACCCAGGACCCAUUUUCACUAUGGUGGCUAAAGCUCUGCACCCUUCAGGCUUGCACCAUGGCAGCAGCAGUGACAGUAAAGACACCCUUACACCACAAUGCUCCAUGACCAGGGAGAGGGUCUCCUCUCUCCUGCCCCUUUCUGGAGGCUCCACCGAAGAUUUCUCUUCACAUUCCGUUUCUCAUUCCUGAAGCAGUUGCUGGCAACAGGGAUGGACUUACCGCAAUGGGUACAGAGCAACUAAGAUUCACCACUAGCCUAUUCUUGAAUUUUUAUUCUUUCAUAUGCAUUUAAGAAUCAUCUUGUCAAGUUCUUCGAAAAACCCUACUGAAAUUUUUAUUGAAAUUGUAUUGAAUUUAUAUGUGAAUUUGGGAAAAAUUGUCUUUUUUUUUUUUUUGACGGAGUCUCGCUCUGUCACCCAGGCUGGAGUGCAGUGGUACAAUCUCAGCUCACGGCAAACUCGGCCUUCUAGAUUCACGCCAUUCUCCUGCCUCAGCCUCCCAAGUAGCUGGGACUACAGGCACCCACCACCUGGCCUGGCUAAUUUUUUUUGUAUUUUUAGUAGAGACGGGGUUUCACCAUGUUAGCCAGGAUGCUCUCGAUCUCCUGACGUCGUGAUCCGCCAGCCUCGGCCUCCCAAAGUGCUGGGAUUACAGGCGUGAGCCACAGCGCCCGGCCAAUUUCACAAAUAGAUUUUUUUUCUUACUGUAAAUCUUAGCAAGCUCAGCAUACGAAUUUUUUUUUCCUUAAAUUGAAAGCUUUUACCCUUUCACUUAAAGGCAGCACUUUAUGGCUUCUCUUGGGCAUAUCCAAAUUGCUACCAUCACUACUCGUAUUAGUCCAUUUUCACGCUGCUGAUAAAGACAUACCUGAGACUGAGAAAUUUACCAAAUAAAGAGGUGUACUGGACUUACAGUUCCACAUGGCUGGGGAGGCCUCACAAUCAUGGUGGAAGGCAAGAAGGAGCAAGUCAUGUCUUACAUGGAUGGCAGCUGGCAAAGAGAAAGCUUGUACAGGGAGACUCCCGUUUUGAAAACCAUCAGAUCUUGUGAGACUCAUUCACUAUUACAAGAACAGUGCAGGAAAGAUGCACCCCUGUACUUCAAUCACCUCCCAGCAGGUUCCUCCCACGACAUGUGGGAAUUGUGGGAGUUACAAUUCAAGAUGAGAUUUGGUUGGGGACACAGCCAAACCAUAUCACUACUCUUGUGCUUUGGGGCCAUUAUGAAGUAAAACAAGCAUUAUUUGAACACAAGAACUGCAAUACCACCACAGUAGAUCUGAUAACUGUUGGCUACUAAGUGACUAAGGGGCAGGUGAAGUAUACAGCUUGGAUGCGAUGGACAAAGAGGAAGAUCUACCUCCCAGCUGGGAUGGAGCAGGACGAUGCAAGAUUUCAUCACACUACUCAGAAAGGCAUGCAGUUUAAAGCUCGUAAAUUAUUUCAGGAAUUUUCCAUUUAAUAUUUUCAGGCUGUGGCUGACCGUGAGUAACAAACCCAGGAAAGCGAAACUGCAGAACAGUGGAUGGGAGAAAGGGUGAAUUACUGUAUAUUCAUGAGGGAUAUUAGUCCAUAGUUUCUUUUUUCCCUUUUAACAAAUUUUUGGGUUUUGUAUAUAGUUUGUCUGGUUUUGGUAUCAGGGUAAUACUAGCUUCAUAAAAUGAAUUGGAAAGCGUUUCUUCUGUUUUCCUAAAAAGAUUAUAUGGAAUUAGCAUUCAUU